ensembl:lncRNA
GGCAGCGCGGCAAGGCGGGCGCGGCCCCCGGCAUCGCCGCGCCGUGGUAGGCGCCUCCGGGGGCGGGCUGUGGCCCGGCUCGGGGAGCGGAGCCUGCCGGUACUCGUGCGGCCCUGCGGGGCUGUCCGUCUCCGGGUCGCUCCUUUGCAGCUCUUCCCGCUUCGGCUUUUCCUUCGUGUUCGCGCAGCGCUCUGUUGGCGGGGCUGACGGACAAAGGGCGGUGUGGGAGCGGGGUUGUCGGGCUGAGCCUGGCGGGGCAGCUGCCUGAUGUGCGCCCGUCUGACUCCUGUGCCGGGGAGAGCUGGGGAGAAAGGCGAGGCUUUGUGCUUUGGAGCCCCGUCCUGCGGCCUCGCUGGGCGGUGAGGGGCCCGUCCUGUGCUGGGGAGGCCGUGGGAGAGCACAGGGAGACCAGCGGCAGGGAGAGCUGCAGGUUGGCAUAACGGCCCUGCGGGUUUGACUGAAACGAGGGGUGAAACGCCACUCUUAGUUCUUCAGUGAAGUGCUACAGCACAUAACGUUGGAUUUCUUUCAUAUAGCUUGUUAUAAGAACAUACGUUGUAUAAUCAAUGAGUAUAUAGACGUAAAAUCAGUGACAAUACAGAGAAGAAUACUGGGCUUACCAAAAAAAAGACUCCACGAGGAGCCAUCUCCAGGGAGAGACCCCUCCCCAGCGGCAGUCAGCCCUGGAAUGGGCUCUAGCAGAGGUGCAGCCUGGCUCCAGCCCUUCCACUCACACAGCUCAACUGCCCUCACCUGUGCUCCCACGGCUGACUCAGCGCUCGCCUCAGGUGGUCAAUCAGAGGUUCAGGCCGUGAUUCAACAGGUCCUGUACAUACAUCCACUGAAAAACGUGGAGUUUAUGCAGAUAAAAGCCACAUGCGUUGUGGUAACUGCCUUUUUACUUGUGUAUCUACAGGGAGCAGCACGCCAGCACUGUUUCCUAGAACCUGUCGCUUACUGUGCAGGUGAGCUCAGUGUAACUGCGUCUGUAGUUUCUCAUAAUCGGUUGUGACUGUGGCCCUUUAGAUGUGCUCUCCAAAAGAAGCACUGCUAGAAGUGUGAUGGCUUCCAAAUGUGGAAGCAUUUCUGCAGGUGUCCUGCUCUUGUCUUUUAACAAGUCUGUUCAACAGUAGGCCUAAGUUCCCUUCUGCUACCAAAAUCCAGGAAUGAAACUUGACGACGUGAAUGACAGAUUAGGAAGCAGAUAUUACUUUAUUGCAGUGCUUGGUGCGUGAGGGAUUGCUCCUCACCAUCUGAAAGCACACAGAUUUUGUAUGCUUUAAUACACAAAUAUUCAUAGGGUUUCCUCAGAGUGCCCACCUAGUCCCAGAAUUGCUAUACAUAUUAAAAUCUGGUACUAUGCAUAAACCCAUGUUAGUGUGGUUUUUUUGCAAGGGGGCCUGUGGUGGUUGUGAGGUUCCACUGGGAGGUGCUAUCCAGGUGAAGGGUUGUCUGUUAUGUAGGCCAGGUCCUGUACUUGGUCAAGAACCUAUUUACAAAACCAUGACCGUUGACUUAGUUUCUAAUGAGCACAUCAAUCUUGUUACAGUGCUUGUAUCAUCAGCCCUACAGUGUACCUCCUCAAGGCUGGUGAAAUGCUGAGGCUCUACUUUUAGGCUCCAGAAGUCCUGCUUAUCUAGGACAGAGUCUUCUCUAGACAAAAUACCAGUCGGCUGAAGAGUUUGAACUCAUUGCUAAAGGCUCUGAACUUAUUGCCAGGUAUGAAUAUGAGGAUUUAUAGGGUUUUUGCAAGAUGGGAUCCCACAAAGAUCGCAAGCUAUCAUUUGUGACUGCAGCGAGACUGUACUGCUGCAGUGGUAUUCUUUGAGGGGAACCUGAAAUCUGCUGAUAGAAAUGGUUUCUCUGCCACUAGUUUUCAUUAAAGCCAAAUGUAUCUGUGAAGUUAAUUCAUUAUCUCAUAGUAAAGAACAGCUCACACACGUAAGCUGAAUUUGUUUUGUGAAAUGCACAGAUUAUUUUGCUUACAGGGUUUUAAAAUAUACUGUCUCCAGGCUGAACAAAUGCCUAGUUUCACUGGGCCCAGGUGAGAACAUCUGAUUAGGAGUUCUCAUCUAAAUAAGGUAUGAAAUUCCCAACCAGCUCUCCAGUGAGGGCUGAAUACAUGUGAAGAGAGCAGCAAAAUGUGUGUACCUCCAUCGAAUCUCUGUAGGUAAGCAUUAUCUUGACACUUUCAGCUGGUUUUCAGAGGUGUAUUAAGAACAGCUUAAAGAUACAAAGCACAUUUUCACAUUCUUGUUUGAAAGAUGGACACAGAAGUAUUAUGCAGGUGGUACUUGAACCACAUCCCUUGGCUUCUAACCUUCACUGUCUUUUUGGUCGAGCCUCAGUUAUAAUUUUACUAAGAAAUAUAUUGAAUAUGCUCAAAUUGAUGUUAACUUCCAUUGUCACCAAAGGAGGGCAUUUAAAACCGUGAAUACUAUCACAGGAAGACUGAGCUGUUGAUUUGUAACGGUGAUUUUGCUUUAAUAUGCACUUCUGCCACGUUGAAGUUCUCUAAGUUUAAUCGCUGUGUGAUAAGAAGAGGCAGCUUGUAGACAGGAUAUUAAACCUUGAUUUCUAUCAUACCAAACAAUUGCUGUAUCUUCACCACUUCUUAAAACUGACAUCCUUUCCUUUCAGGUUGACGUGUCCUACUGUAUUAUUUAAGACUUGAUUAUUGCAGUUGAAAUUGGGUUGUUUUUUUUUAGUGCAAAACUAUGUACUUUAAUGGCUGUAUUUCAUCCAUCUUCACUGUGAAUCUGAAUCUAACUUGAUGUCUCACAAACUGCCCAGUUGAUGCUUUCCUGGCCAGGUUUCCAUGUGAACAGGGUGAGCACACAGCUAUGUAAUGUGUCACCAAUCCAAUUGCAGGCAGCACAGUGCUUGGGAAAAGCUUUACCUGGUGUUCAUCAUGAGUAGGAGUCGUCCCCACCUGUGAAGCCUGGGUUCCUGAUGGAGAAGUUGCUGAUCCUCCUUACCUGUGUCAUCCAAGUGGUUUAGAGGAAUCAUGCCAUCGGACACAGAUCAGUAAUGCUUGUUGCUUGAUCCAACUGCUGUAUAGCUGAUGAAUUCAUGGAUUUAAGACAAAUAAUCCGUAUUUCAUUACUAGCAAGUGCUAGAAAUAAAAAUGUACUCUGCACUAUUGCUUGGAAAAACAAAUCCUGAAGUCGUAAGAGAGGAUUAAAGUUGGAAAAAAAUCUCUCAAGAGAAAAACGAAGGGAGUAAUGACAUCUGCUUAGCAGCAUCCAGCCCCUCAGCCUGCAGCACGGACCUCUGGAGCCCUUACACACGGAAUAAAAGGGGAUGCAGUGAGUGAGGAGCAGCAGAACUGCAAGCAGAGCAGCGCUACUGGUGGUGGUGUUCUACCAUGGCAGUAAACAAAGCCAUCGGUUGCAGACUUCUGCACCAAUUCAGGUGGCUCCAUUGCAGGUAUAAGGUUGGAGGUGUGAGGUUUCUCAGCAGUGGGACGUUACCACCUAGCUGUGAGCUGGCUUUACUCUGGUGGGCGUCCUGCUGUUCUCCCACAGUGAGCUGUGUUCUGGUUCUGUUGGAAGGCUGCCCAGUCCUUCUGCCGGGUUUAUAUUCCACUUAAACGCAUGGCUAUUCAAGUGACCAACCUUUUGGAGUGUCUCGUUUGGCUUUGACUUAAACAUUUGCUGCUCCUACCCCUUCCUACAGAGGCCUUUUUAUAGGUGGCCUGUAGUGCCAUAUAGUUUUUGCUUAGAGUUGAGCAUUUUCCUAAGCUUAUGGGGUUAACCACGAUUAUGGGAGAGUUCUUGAAGCAUUUUUGAAUGUAAUGCUUUUAUUUAAUGUUUGUAAGCAAGUUCAAAGGUGUCAGAUACAAAUGUCCCAGUAUGGCACAAGGACGAGACGUGGCAUUGGGGAUUGGGCUGUUCUGUUGCUAGUGCACACAAAUGUGGCAAUGAACUUUUUCCCUCGUGCUUUAGAGCAUUAAAACAGCUGUUUUGGAUCAGAGCAAAGUGGGCAGCAGCUGUGGCAGUGAUCUGCCUGUGAUUAGUGGGCUCAGGCACUCGUGGAGUCACAGAUGGGCUUUGUGCUCUUAAGGGCACUGUGCUUUUAGGGCUCCCGCUUUUGCACCAGUGUGCUUCUUGAAGUGCUAAAAGUUUUCCCAGCUGGAAGUCCUCACAGCAUCACACAGCAAAGAGCUCUGGGUUUCAGCAUCCACACAAAGGCAUCGCGCAGUCCGCCUGUGUUCCAAUGGGCACAAACAGCACUGAUUGCGUAUUAAAGCCAUUGUCACCAUCACAACCUGGGAGGAGAGCAGAGUGCCAGGACGCUGCAGGACCCCGAAGAUUAUGUCUUAUAAAUAAACAGCUCAAAUUUGUCUGAAGCCUCAGCGUGCGAUGUAUGGAGCGUUGCAUUCUGACUGUGUUACGCCAAGAUUGCUGCUAAUAGCUUUUGGCAGCACAGCCACCAAGUCAGAAAGCUGAGAUGAUUGCGGAUUGUCUGCUUCCAUACAUAUCAUACAGCUGCCUGGAAGACGGUGGAGGCAGCGCCUAAUUGAUGUUUGUUCUUGUCAAUGUGUGAUCAGGUUUUGAUGCAAGGUUCUCCUCUUUUGUGCUCUUCUGGUCAAAUUUUCGUUUAAAUUUGUAUUCUGUGCUGAACAGUAGUGCCAGCAGAACCAUAAGCGAGGAGUUUAAAUUUAGGAUGUGUUGCAGAAAUCCAAAAAUGCUUUACUGUUUGGGUAAAAACGUUUUUGUGUUUUUUUUUCCCCUUCAGCUGCUGCUCUGCAUGCCGUAAAACAGCAUCCGAAGGGUUUGCUCUGAAAGCAUCUCUUUGUGCCCUGGGCCAGUGACCCCACUGCUGUGCCAGUAAAUCAUGGCAAGCUGGAGGAAUCUCCCUGAUUUCUGAGCUCCUAAUCCCGCAAAGCCUGUAAAUGAUGGCUGGCUUAGCUUUGUUUCUGAUAAAACGAGGCUUAUGAGAUGAUGACAUUUGCUGCCUGUUUCUCCUCCGCUCCGUUCCGUGUCACCACCCAAGAGAUCUCUGGAGCCCAUCAGUGCAAGGCUGUGUGCCUAGUGCUACAACACUACCGCGUGCUGGAGAGCAGGGAGGAGCCUGGGUGAAUGUAUGGGAAUGAAUUUGGCUGUGUUAGCACUCCGAUCCCCUUCUGUAUGAUGUGCUUCCCCUGUUCUGCAGUGUCUGAUGCAGGUAUUGGGUCAGCCCAGUGAUGUUUGCUUCCUGGAGAGCACGCAUGGAACCUGCUGAUGGAGUUUGUUAACAGCCCUGCUGUUCCUUAAGCCAAGCUGGGUUUUUGCUUUGAUAAAACCUCUGGGCAUGGUGUGUGGCUGUACAGAGUGUGAGAACUCGGGGAGGUUCUUUACUCUGAGAGUGGCGAGGUGCUGAACAGCUGCCCAGAGAGGCUGUGGAUGCCCCGUCCAUCCCUGGAGGUGCUCAAGGCCAGGUUGGAUGGGCCCUGGGCAGCCUGGGCUGGUAUGAAAUGUGGAGGUUGGUGGCCCUGCCUGUGGGGGGGGGGGGGUUGGAGCUUCAUGAUCCUUGGGGUCCCUUCCAACCCAACUGUUGUAUGGCUCUAUGAGAAGGCUGGGGCGGUGUGUGUGCACUGUGGGGAGGGAGCACUGCCUUCCUCCUGUGGUGGUCCCACCGCACAGUGCUGCAGUCACUGUCCCACCUGCCAGCAGCUGGCUGUGCUGUGCAACGCAGCCACCAAAGGAUUUCUUCUUAAAAGAUAUGAAUAAAAGCGUCUGCCAUCGCAGCAGGGAUUCUGUGAGUGGCAGCUCAAAUUAGAA